rnacentral:misc_RNA from 1 species
AAAAAAAUCAUGCUUCACCUGUCCGACCGUCCAAAGGAGGACAAGGGUUUAGAUCUAGCGAAGGAACCAAUUUCACAUGAUCCCUUAAGAGUUGCUGAGACACCCGAUUGGCCAGCACUGACUGUCCAUCAUAAAGCUCUCCUCCUGUAGUCCUCCCAAACUGCUUUCCAAGAGCAUCAUUUUGAGAGGAUGCCAAUUCCCGGAAAGCAUGAGAUCCUGAUGGUGGCCCUCUUAAAACAUCAGGAUCCCAGUAAGAAGGGCCAUUCAUGUAAG